CUUCCACUGCAGCACAAUGAGGAAGAAAUAAUGUGAGUGGAUGAGCUGAAGUUCAGUGGGCGGGGCCAUUACCUCUUGACAUCAUUUUUUCAGCUCAGCCAAUCAAAUUGUUUUGUGUUUCCACAGCAGCUCUGUCUCUGAUCUUUGCUGCUUCAUUUCUCUGUUGUCUUUGUCAUCAGUCCAACAAGUCACAAAUCAGAGCUUUAACAGAGUGUGUCUCCCUCUAGUGGAUGUUGUGGAGUUUUCUGUUGUCUUUGCUCCAAAGGUUUUUGUACAGAGUUUUACUGUUUCCUGUCACUGUGGGCCUCAGAGCACAGUAGUACACAGCAGAGUCUGACAGAUGAAGCUUCUGGAUCUUCAGAGAAACUGAUGUCUUGUUGAGUUCAGCAUCAAAUCUGUCUUCCUGGAACUCGGGAGCAUUUUCUCCACUUCCAUAAGUAUCACGUUUUAAGAUGUACUCUGGAAAGCUAUUUACUUCUUGUUUGUACCAGAAUAAAGUAAGUUGUGUUGUGGAACUGGUCUCAAAACUACAA